UGGUGUACAUAUAUCAAAGGUAAGAUCCUUGGCACUUGAUGUUAAAGUGUGGGAGCCUUCUGUCAUAAUCUUAUUCCAAGCACUUGGUAAUGUGUUUGUGAAUUCUAUUUGGGAGGGUUUGUUGCAUCCAAGAAGAAAUUUCCAGGCAGAUGAAAUACCGAUGCGGUCUUUGGAGUCCCAUAAGCACAAGCAGUUUUCUUGCAAACCGAGUGAGGAUGAUCAUAUUUCAGUGAAGGAGAAGUUUAUCCAUGGAAAGUAUGCAGAAAAAAAAUUUGUUCACAAAGUGGAAGACGGUGAGCAUCUGCUUUCUGUUGCACAACAGCUAUGGGAAGGUGUGCGUAAAAAUGACAAGAAAACUGUAUACCGUCUCAUUGUUGUUUAUCAAGCAGAUGUUAAUGCAGUUCACGGGCAAGCAUCACUUGGCAGUGAUUGUGCGAACUCUUUGAACCCACGAGGUGGAAGUGCAGACCUUUCCUCUGAUGGAUUUUUUGAUGGCUGUUCCCUGCUUCACCUAGCCUGCCAAACUGCUGAUAUUGGCAUGGUGGAGCUGCUUCUGCAGCAUGGCGCUAACAUAAAUGCUUGUGAUUUGCGUGGUCAGAUCCCACUGCAUCAUAGUUUCUUAAGAGGAAGAACUGAAAUUGCCAAACUAUUACUUUCAAGGGGGGCCAAUCCACAAGCUGUCGAUAAGGAAGGCAAGACUCCUUUCCACCUUGUCCAGGAAUCAGCUCUCGAUGAUGUGGAGAUCAUUGCCCUGCUGAAAGUUGCCAUAGGAUAGCACCACAACAAAGAUCAAACUGAGGUAGACAACUUAGUAUUGCAUCCCAGUAAAAAUAUUUUAUCUUCAAGAACGAAGUUUGGAGUUAUACGGAAGUGCUAAAGCUUGCUCAAAUCCUUAGCUUCAUUCUCCCAGCAGAAAUUCUGUUAAGGCUUUUGAAAUGAAAGAUCCAGAGAAGUGCUUUUUCUCCGCGAAUCUCAGAGAUGUUGAAAGUAGGCAGUGGAGCAGUUGUACAUGUAUUUUGAAUUGACUGUGAAACAGAAUUAGCUAAGUAGAACUAUAUUUAAGUGGGAAAUUGGCUCAGUGAUGAAGCUGAAAGAAAUUGGGGAGACGUGAUGAAUGAGGCUAUUUAUUAUGGUUUCAUUUUAGAGGAGUAAGAAAGAAUGUUUAUCACCAAUAGGCAAUAUAUAGAUUUCUUGUAUUUGAAAACUAUUUGUAUUGCAAUAAGAAUUGUAAAUAUA
rnacentral:misc_RNA from 1 species